rnacentral:rRNA from 1 species
GACGAACGCUGGCGGCGUGCUUAACACAUGCAAGUCGAACGAAGAGCGAUGGAAGCUUGCUUCUAUCAAUCUUAGUGGCGAACGGGUGAGUAACGCGUAAUCAACCUGCCCUUCAGAGGGGGACAACAGUUGGAAACGACUGCUAAUACCGCAUACGAUCUAAUCUCGGCAUCGAGGAUAGAUGAAAGGUGGCCUCUACAUGUAAGCUAUCACUGAAGGAGGGGAUUGCGUCUGAUUAGCUAGUUGGAGGGGUAACGGCCCACCAAGGCGAUGAUCAGUAGCCGGUCUGAGAGGAUGAACGGCCACAUUGGGACUGAGACACGGCCCAGACUCCUACGGGAGGCAGCAGUGGGGAAUCUUCCGCAAUGGACGAAAGUCUGACGGAGCAACGCCGCGUGAGUGAUGACGGCCUUCGGGUUGUAAAGCUCUGUUAAUCGGGACGAAAGGCCUUCUUGCGAAUAGGGAGAAGGAUUGACGGUACCGGAAUAGAAAGCCACGGAUAACUACGUG